rnacentral:rRNA from 1 species
UACGGAGGGUGCGAGCGUUGUUCGGAAUUACUGGGCGUAAAGCGCGUGCAGGCGGCCGACUAAGUCAGGUGUGAAAGCCCGGGGCUCACCUCCGGAAGUGCGCUUGAAACUGGUCGGCUAGAGUAUGGGAGAGGGAAGCGGAAUUCCUGGUGUAGCGGUGAAAUGCGUAGAUAUCAGGAGGAACACCGGCGGCGAAGGCGGCUUCCUGGACCGAUACUGACGCUGAGGCGCGAAAGCUAGGGGAGCAAACAGG